GGUCUUGUAGUUUAAUUGGUAAAACACUGGGAUGCUCGCUGGUUGAUCACCAGUUGAGCGCUAGAAGCUAUAUUACUGGUAUCCUAUACUAGGAGCAAUUAUACUACUAACGUACCCAGAGAUGACUGUUCGAACCAGCCCUUGACCA